rnacentral:lncRNA from 1 species
AACACACAUAAACACACAAAUGGCUGAUUCUCACUGUUAUAGUGUAUUUCAUCAGAAAUAUAUUUGCAUUGCAUAGCAUGAGAGCGGGAACGGAGACUGCUUGCUCACUACUUUUGAUUGGUGGAAAGAUGUGUCAAAUAUAUAGAGACAGCCCUGAUUGGCUGCUUGAAUCUCAAUUUAAAGUUUGCGGUCUUUCUUUUCGCGGAGACUCAGCACGGCACGGGUACUCAUGGGUCUUACAGGGCUUUCAACCCAGGAGGUCCUUCAAAAAAUAUCAGAAGCAGGCAUAGAAGUAACCGACGUCGAAGCCCAGAGAUUCAGAGAUAAUGAUGUGGAUGGUGAAACAGUUGACUGUGGCCUCACAGAGACUAUGGUUGCGUACUUGUUUCAAGGAUCUUUCAAGAAGCAGGCCAAAUUCAACCAGUUUGUAUGCAAGCUGAAAGAGCCAUUAGUAACAGACAUUAGAGCCUGUGCCUCCAGAGGAAUGCCAACAAUCUAGUUCUGCUAUACCAAGACACCUACAAACAAAGCUAGACAACAAGGAACCAUGCCAGAAAAAUCCAAAGGAUAGACACACAAUGAUCCGGGUUCUCUAUGAGGCUGUGGCACAAUACACAAUGUACGUAAAUGUGUUGAAGGCAAUAUUAGACAUGGGAAAGCGAUACAAUGAUUUGCAAGACUUGAAUGUCAGUGAUGUAUCAACCUAAGCUAGUAAAAAAAAAUAACUUUAUCUGCAUCUCGAAG